CAGUAGCCGCGGUAACACGUAGGGUGCGAGCGUUAAUCGGAAUUACUGGGCGUAAAGCGAGCGCAGACGGUUAUUUAAGCAGGAUGUGAAAUCCCCGGGCUUAACCUGGGAACUGCGUUCUGAACUGGAUAGCUAGAGUGUGUCAGAGGGGGGUAGAAUUCCACGUGUAGCAGUGAAAUGCGUAGAGAUGUGGAGGAAUACCGAUGGCGAAGGCAGCCCCCUGGGAUAACACUGACGUUCAUGCUCGAAAGCGUGGGUAGCAAACAGGAUUAGAUACCCCAGUAGUCCCUGUCUCUUAUAC
rnacentral:rRNA from 1 species